UAUUCACAUGCUCAUUCAUUUCUUUUCAUUAUAUAUAUCCUAAAGUCCACAAAACAUGUUCAUAAAUCAUAUCAUCACUUUUUGUCAAAACAAAAUAAAAUCAUAACAUCACUUACACACAAAAUCAUGAGUAUACUCUCAGCCAUAUUCUGCUGCUUCAAGUCCAAUAUUGAAGAAGACAAGAAUAAUCAUGUAGUAGUAGAAGCAGGUUCUUUGUCAAAAAAAUCCAAAGGGGAUGAUGAUGAUAUUAAGCGAUCUUCAGCUCCUAUUGUUGUUUCUUAUUUCCCUGUUAACUCUCAACCUUCUCGCUUGUAGACUUGCAUCUAAUCUCUAGAUGCAAAACUUAUUUUCUCAACUCCACUUUUUCUUUUUUCUAGUUAACUGUAAUUAUUGAAAAUUUUCCUCUCCUCUUAUAAGUUCUAACCCUAGCCGUCACCACUUUUUUGUUCGUCUUAAUUUAUUAAAGAGGGGUGAUUUCAGGUCAAAUCUUGACCUGGAAUCACCCCUCCAAAUUGUCUUUUCUUUCUACUUAUAUUAAAUAAGUGUGAUUUUCACAUAUUUAUUUGUUUUGGGGUGUUUUGUUGUCUCGUCUUUAUGUGGUGUAUUUUGUUGUUCCGUCUUUAUGCGGUGUAUUUUGUUUUUUUCCUUCUUUAUGUGGUGUUUAUUUCUUUCAGAUUGAAAAAUUUAUUCCGAUCAAGUGUAAAUCCAUUCGAUACACUUAGUUUGAAAAAUGACUUUAGAGGUGCAAGUAAUAUGAUGGAAAUUAAAAGAAUAUUAAAAACUAGACAUGUGUUUGGAAAAUGACUUUAGUGGUACAAGCAAUAUGAUGGAAAUUAAAAGAGCUUGUGUUUGGAAUGACUUUAUCGGUGCAAAAAGCAAAAUGAUGGAAAUUAAGAGAGCUUCUAAAAAAACUAGUUAGUAUACAGUAUACACGUGUUUGGAAAAUGAGUUUAGGGUGCAAAAAGUAGCUUCCAAAUUAAUACUAGUUACACCGUAUGUAUACCAAAUUUGAGCUCACUUUGGCCUAACAAAAUAUCCAGUAUGUCUAUGCUUUCUUUUGGCCCAAAUGGUAGAAAAGAAAUGCACAAAUUUCAUCAUACAAAUCUGAAUAAAUAUGUUUGUUUUUACUAUCUAUACUCUUCACGAAGAGAGUAUCCCCCAAAUCCACUGUUGAUUCGCAUUUUUAGUGGUUUCGUUUUCUGCCAUAUCUGAACCAGAAUUUUUCCUGCUGUUGCUCGUGUGUCGCGUUGGGUGUGGUCCUGAAGGAAGAUGGCAGUAUAUAAGUACCUUAAGCCGAAUUGAAAAAUCAAAAGCCGGGGUUAUUUAUUUUCGGUUUCGUUCUUGAAGGAUUCAACACGAUGGUUAAUGCUUAUAGCAAAAUAAGUGAUGUUUGUGUUCAUCUCUUUCUUUAUCUUUUCACAAGACAAUUCAAUUGAAAUGGUGCUUAUGGAUGAGAAGGGUUGCAAGAUUCUGUCUACUGGCUGGCGGCACCUGAUUCAUUAGUUUAAGGGUGUUCUUAAGGGUGCACCUGAUUCUUUACCGGUGUACAUGAAUUUAAUACGCAAUGGUACAACUUCUAUAUGCAUAACUUGGAGGAGCUUAACAAAUGUUUGGAGUUCAAGGCUUCUUUCUUUGAAUAUCUGAUUUGGAAGGUAAGUGGAGAUCCGCAUAGAACAAAAACAGAGAUGAGGCAAAGAAAGGCAAAGAAAGGUUCAAUUGAUAUAUCUUAAUUGGUUCUAUGUACUCAAAGUAGCCACAUAAAAGGUGCACCUAUAGUAGGUAUGCCUUUUGAGAAGAUAGACUCAGAUGCAUAUAUGAUGAGAACCUUGAGGGAUAAGGGGAAGAAAAAGGAAUAGAAUGGUAAAUUUGAUGCAUAGUAUAAGGAGGGUCGUUUAAUGUAUAUAAUGCUAUCAUACAUUUAACACCACAUAUUAAUUUAAUCUGUCGACUCUAUGUUCGAAGAGAUUGUUAUCCAAUGGCUUUAAUUUUGAAUUUGGAGUUAGACAAAACUUACUUAUUUUAGGGCUUUAUGAAAAUUAUGAUUUAAUUUUUUUCUUAUUAUGUUUUCUAUCCUUGGUUUGUAUCUUCCUAAGCCUAUUUUUACACUUGAUCAAUUAUAUGUUGUCGUUUCCCGUGUUAGAACUCAAGCUGAUUUAAAGAUAUUAAUAACAGAUGAUAAUGAUCAAUCACAAACUUUUACAAUC